AUGCUUGCACUUUCAUUGGCUUUGUCGCUUGUCCUAUGUAUCUUCAUGAAAGAUCAAGUUCAGCUUUCGUGGUGGGGGCUUCUCCUUGCAGCCUGUCUUGCUUUGAUAUAUACCCUACCAAUAAGCGUCAUAACAGCCACCACAAACAUGGUUAGUUUUGCAAGUUGAACAUAUGUUUAGUAACUUUUGUGGACUGCAUCCAUCCUCCUCUAUUAAACAAAUUUUUGCUUCUGAUUAACAGUCACCAGGAUUAAAUGUGAUCACGGAAUAUGUUAUUGGUAUGAUAAUCCCAGG
rnacentral:lncRNA from 1 species